rnacentral:rRNA from 1 species
UACGUAGGGUGCGAGCGUUAAUCGGAAUUACUGGGCGUAAAGCGUGCGCAGGCGGUUUUGUAAGCCAGAUGUGAAAUCCCCGGGCUUAACCUGGGAAUGGCAUUUGGGACUGCAAGGCUGGAGUGCGGCAGAGGAGACUGGAAUUCCUGGUGUAGCAGUGAAAUGCGUAGAUAUCAGGAGGAAUACCGAUGGCGAAGGCAGGUCUCUGGGCUGACACUGACGCUCAUGCACGAAAGCCGUGGGGAGCAAACAGG